UCUACCAUUGUCUAAAUCACCAUCACCACCAUCAUCUCUUGGACACAUCUUUUAUCAGGUCAGAAUGUCACCACCAUCUACUUUAGCACCCUUGUGCAUUAGUAUCACUUUGCCUAAAAUUGUAUAUCUUUUUAGGCCACCAUUUUAGUAAUUUGUGAGGCACUCAACCUUGGGUGUCAUGCAUGUGUAGCAAUUAUCUCUUGUUGAUCACUUGUGCAUGGCCAAAAAUAUGUGGCCGGCCAUGCCAUGGCACACAUGCAUCAUGCCUCUCCAUUUCCCUCUCUCUCACAUAAUUACUCCACCUUGGGAUGCCUCUCCUCCUUUGUCCCUUCCCAAUGCCACAAAUAAAUUCAGCUUGGGUCAAAUAUCUCUUCCCCAAACCAGCCUCCCAACUAACCCAAUCAAUGAAGAGGCUACCUCCCAACCAACCCAAUCAAUGAGGAGGCAGCCCACCCCCUCUCCCUCUAUAUAAAGGGGCUUGGCAGCCCACCCCCUCCUCACUUGCUCUCACUUUUCCACUCCCCACUCUCUCCUCCACUCCCACACACUCUCCUCCUACCUCUCCCCACGAAAUUGCUGCUCCUCCUAGCUUCAUGGCCGGCCAUGGCCAUGGAAAGCUCACCAAGAUGCAGCUCCUUCCUCCCUCAAGCUCAUCCUCACCAUGAGAGCCUCCCCCUCCAUCUUCUCCCCAACCUUAGAUGGUUUAAUCUCCUCUUCUUCUCCCUCCAUUGCUAAGAUUGGAUCUUGAUGCAGGUGCAUGUUGGUCCAAGCAUGGAGAAGAUUCUGGUACGAUCUUGUAAAAUCCGCCAAAUCUCGUGUGCAGAUCCAAAUCGAGUGGUUCAAAGUUCUUCAGAUAGAUCAAGAUCUGGUCAGAUCUGACUUUGUCGAAUUAAAUCAGGAGCUUGGAAACGAAUUUUUGAAUGAAACCAGUUGGGGGAUAUUUGGUUUAUACCAUGGUGAUAACCGAGAGAGGCAAUUGCUAAGUUGUGACGCACUCAUACCUCUACUAGAUGCGAACAAUUCCGGAGAAGAAGAAGAAGUGGUUCGGACAAGGAUUUUAUUUAUAUUGACGGGAUUCUUAUAUUGAUGAAGUUGAAGAAGUCCAGGGACAAAUAAGCCAAG